rnacentral:rRNA from 2 species
AACGGCCGCGGUAUCCUAACCGUGCAAAGGUAGCAUAAUCACUUGUCCCCUAAAUAGGGACCAGAAUGAACGGCUAAAUGAGGACUAAACUGUCUCUUACAGAUUGGCCAAUGAAAUUGAUUUCCCAGUACAAAAGCUGGAAUAUACCCAUAAGACGAGAAGACCCUGUGGAGCUUCAAAACCAAACCACUUAGUAUGUCCCUUGGUUUUUUAGUUGGGGCGACUUCGGAAUACAACAAAACUUCCAAAAUAAAACUAACUCAUUAAGGUUAACACACCAAAAUCUCCACACAGACCCAGCAAUUAAUUUGUCUGACCAAUGAACCAAGUUACCCCAGGGAUAACAGCGCAAUCUCCUUUUAGAGUCCAUAUCGACAAGGGGGUUUACGACCUCGAUGUUGGAUCAGGACACCCCA